GACGAACGCUGGCGGCGUGCUUAACACAUGCAAGUCGAACGGAAAGGCCCUUCUUUUGUGGGGUGCUCGAGUGGCGAACGGGUGAGUAACACGAGAGUAACCUACCCUUGACUUUGGGAUAACUUCACGACACUGGGGCUAAUAUAGGACAGGAGCUCCUGCUGCAUGGUGGGGGUUGGAAAGUUUCGGCGGUUGGGGAUGGACUCGCGGCUUAUCAGCUUGUUGGUGGGGUAGGGGCUUACCCAGGCUUUGACGGGUAGCCGGCCUGAGAGGGUGACCGGCCACAUUGGGACUGAGAUACGGCCCAGACUCCUACGGGAGGCAGCAGUGGGGAAUAUUGUACAGUGGGCGGGAGCCUGAUGCAGCGACGCCGCGUGCGGGAUGACGGCCUUCGGGUUGUAAACCGCUUUCGCCUGUGACGAAGCGUGAGUGACGGUAAUGGGUAAAGAAGCACCGGCUAACUACGUG
rnacentral:rRNA from 1 species